AUUGAACGCUGGCGGCAUGCUUUACACAUGCAAGUCGGACGGCAGCACAGAGAAGCUUGCUUCUUGGGUGGCGAGUGGCGAACGGGUGAGUAAUAUAACGGAACGUACCGAGUAAUGGGGGAUAACUAAUCGAAAGAUUAGCUAAUACCGCAUAUUCUCUGAGGAGGAAAGCAGGGGACCUUCGGGCCUUGCGUUAUUCGAGCGGCCGAUAUCUGAUUAGCUAGUUGGUGGGGUAAAGGCCUACCAAGGCGACGAUCAGUAGCGGGUCUGAGAGGAUGAUCCGCCACACUGGGACUGAGACACGGCCCAGACUCCUACGGGAGGCAGCAGUGGGGAAUUUUGGACAAUGGGCGCAAGCCUGAUCCAGCCAUGCCGCGUGUCUGAAGAAGGCCUUCGGGUUGUAAAGGACUUUUGUCAGGGAAGAAAAGGCUGUUGCUAAUACCGACAGCUGAUGACGGUACCUGAAGAAUAAGCACCGGCUAACUACGUG
rnacentral:rRNA from 1 species